UUUUUUUUUUUUUUUUUUGGUAUAAUUCACAGAUAUUCACAUAUAUUUUAUAGUCUGCAAUUAAUCUUAUUCGAAUUACAUCGAGCCCCUUGUGGGAGGAACUUUUCUAACGUUAUCUUUUCCAUUUCUAUGAAUUUCGAAUUAAACCUUAUGAUUUAGGGAUGCAAGCCCAACAUCCGUUGGUCUUGGAUCUCUAUUUCUGUAGAGCGAUCUGUCUUGAAAUUUGAGAAAGUAGGAAAAGAAAAGGGUUUUAAGCUAUGACUUUUCAAGCCAGAGAUAAAUUUUCUCUGAAAUCUUUGGAGAGUUGAUAUGGUCAAAUGGUCGCCAUAAUGAUUAUGUUCGUUCUCCAAUUACAACAAAUGUUUUGAAAACUGGACCGGAUCGGGGCGGUUCAACCGGUUGAACCAAAACCCCGCCAUGCAUCCGGUCCGGUUCAAUUAAAAACCCACAUAAUCGAUAAAAUCGGUCAAAACUGGUCAAGAAUCGGUUGAACCGGUGAAAAUCGGGAGGUUUAACUGAUUUUUAUUAAGUAUUUAUUUUCUAAAAUAAAUAUUUUAGUUUUAUUCAAAUUUUUUAAUAUUAAAAUGAAUAAAAAAUUAUUAAACAUUUGAAUCGGAGUCGAAUCGGUUGAACCGAUUGAACUGUGAACCAAAGGUUCUCCGGUUCACUCUCCGGUCCGGGUUUAAAAACAUUGAUUACAGCUCAUCCAGCUUGAAUGCAGAGGAAAAAUCACCAAAUAUACAAUCACAAAAAGCUUAUAGAGAAUAGAUUUUUUUUUUUUGGACUUAUAGAGAAUAGAUUGUUAGGGAGUAAGGAUUCUUGUUUCUCUGACAUUAACUUAAUUAAUCACUUGAAAGAAAAAAAAAAUUCAAUCACUUUUUUUUUUCAAUCACUUGAUAGUCUUGAUUUAUGUGACUAGGCUGUGGUGUUUCAAGUAAGAUAUUUUGAACUAAAACAAAACAUGCUUUUUAUUUCCCAUCUGAUAAUUUGUCUUUUCAACCGAUAUUAUUUCCCACCUUAUCUCUAAACUCUCACAGUUCCAAUUUAACGAGUGCCUUGUUAGCAUAUAAUUUUCAAUGUAUAGUGCACACAAUCAUAUUUGUUGGCAGUCAUAUUUAUACUCAUAAUUCAUUUUUGUUUUCGUCCCCAUUUUACUUCAUUUUCCAGAAAAUUAACACUUAGUAACCACUUAACCAUUAUCGUAAGAACAGUCUUUAGACAAUUUUUUAAUAGUUUUACAUGAGAAUGGUGCCCUAUUUCGCUGCUGAUAACUGAAAUCAUCUAUAGUUGGUGAUAAAUCAACUAUUUUUCAGAUCUAUUAUUGUAUAUCUUUUAAAUUACAGAUCCGCAAUUUUUAGUGUACGUUUAAUCUGUUAUUAGGGCAGCAAUAUACAUGAAAUCGUGCUGAAAAAUUUUCAGCAAUCUGUUAAUGAAAUUUACGUUUUAUUAAGAAAAAGGGUUACAAAAUAUGGAAUGAACUGUUUAAUAUUUAGAGUUAUCAUUCGAGAGGAUUUAAGAUUUUUUGUGAGUGGCUAAGAAAACGAAUAAAAAACUCAUUUUACGAGAAAAGGAAAGGGAACAUACAGUAACACGUAUAGCGUAACCAUGAGCUGCAUUCCUCAUUUCCGGUCUUGCCACUUUAGUAAAGGCUGAUAAAUUGUUAACAUAAGAUUCGAUCAGCUGAAUCAGGUUGCUGAUAAUUUGGCCAAAAACUGCUGUUACAGAAGCUUAGAGCCUUACCUAAUUUUGUCCCACUUUUGUGACUUUUGUGGACUUUCAUGUUUAGCUAGGAUCAUACAUCAUCUAGGACCUCCGGGAUCUCCUUCAUUUUUAUGUAAUACUGACAUGCCUAGAAAGAAUUAUAACAUUGAAAAAGAUUGAAAAUUGUGCCACGUAAUUGAAGGCUGCCUAUGAACCAACGUAAUUGUGCUGUUAGCUACCACCAAAGACUUUAAGUUUUUAUGAAGUGGGAGAUCAAGAAUUCAAACCUUCCCUUUCAUCAACGUGCUACUAUAUGUGACUUCUUGUCAAUCUAUACAAGUGCGUAGUGCAUUCGUUUAAUUUGAUAGUGAUUCCCUUUUAAUUUCUCUAGGCUCUGUUGGGCGUGUAGGUUAGAUCAAUGUGCGUGUACGAGUUGACUAAACUAAAUGUUGCUGCCUGAUAAAAAUAAAAAUAAAAAACUGAAGGCUACCUAUGCAGUGGGCUAGAUCUUAAAUUGCAAGACAAAGGCUUGAUGAGCCUUCUGACCAUUAGCUCUCUAUAGGCCAUCCUGUCCCCUUGGCAGCAUGGCUUCUUUAAUGGGGUUAUUAAUCUUUCUAUCUACCCCUUCUUUGCUAUCUCCGUAGAAGUCAUAUAAUAGUAGGAGUACUACUUUUUACUUAUAAAAUUACCGGAGUAUUAAUUAUUGCACUAUAUUCUAUAUGGAUCCUUAUCUUCCACUAAUCUUUGCAUUAUAUGGAUCAAUUUUCUGCUGGAUCUGAUUAAGUUGUUGUUAGUAUUCUAAUUUACAUUAUUAGUUCUUAGAUCUCAACUGGAUACGUUUAAUAACAUUAAUAGAGUAAGCCAUUAGUUAGCUUUUUUCUCCACUGACACAUUUAUUAAUUUUCCCCAGGCAAGCUCUCCACUCUCCACCUCUACAUUUUCACAACUCCAUGUGCCUUUUUUGUUGUUUUCUUUUUCUUCUGUCAGAACUCUUGUUUGCCUUUGUUCCUGCAUGAUGUCAAUUUUGUGGCAUUCUGACACUCAUCAAUUUUGUAACUGUUGUUUAAAGAUGCAGAUGUAGAGCCCUGCAUUAUUGCUGUUUCCCACUUCCAUAUGUAGUAGUAUUUUUUUGUUCAUUACUUUCUGGAAUAAAAUUUUUAGUUAUUUAGUUUAAUUUGUUGAUUCUACGGUUUGAUGAUCACUCUACAUGUCAUUUACUUCAUAUUUAAGGUAUUAUUUUCUGCUCAAACUACACAGGAGUAAUAAUAAUAAAUCAAACCAAACACUUGCGUUUGAUAAAACUGAAGUCCGAAAAUAAAAGUCUAAAAUCUGAAAUCUGAAAUCUGAAAUCUGAAUCCAUUAAAUUAUUAAAUUGUUAAGUAUUAAAUCUAAUACAUUUGAGUGCAUAUCACAUUCAAUAAUAAUUGAAUAACUUAUCACUUAAUUUUGGGAGCAAGUUUAAUCUAAAAAAUUCCGUACCAUUUAAUUAAUUCAAAUGUUCAUUUUUUAGUUAUCAAAUGGUCUGAACAUGUUAUGAUCUAAAUCUAUUAAAUUUAAAUGCUGAAUUGGGUUGUCAAACAGGGCCUUAAUUUGCAAAGCGAAGGAUAAUCUCGUUUGCUAUAUCCAAAUUGCAUCGAUUGAUCCCGUCCAAUUAAAAAUUAGUCGGUUAAUUCAUAAUUGGUGAUAAUUCAUGACUGGAAUGAGGACUUGUCAACUAAGGCCUUCAAUAAUCACUCAAAACCAUGACUAAACAGUGGUGGUGAAUGGUGAAUGGUAAAUGGUCAAGUUUAGACCCCAAAGUUUUAUCAUUUAUGGGCAAUCACAUUCUUCAAAAUGAAAAAAAAAAAUGAAGCUAUUGAUUAGAAAUAUAACAUAAAAAAUUGUAGCAUUCUAAAAUUGGUUUUGUCUGCUUUUAUCUGGAGAUUAUUGCAUAAAUGACUUUAAGAGACAACUAGGUUAUAGGAGAAAAAAAAGAAAGUGAAGAAAAACCAAUAGAGAAAAGAAUAAAAGAAAAUAUGUUAAUUAAAAAAGAAAGCCAAUAUCACAUGGGCAUGUGCGAUACUGUUACCUAACAUCAUACUAGUGAUUCACACUUGGAAUAUUAAGCAGAGAAAACAUGAGCUCCUCAUACAAUGUAAAGUCAAAUUUGAGCCAUUGCUCGUACAAUGUAAUUUUACUUCCUUCUUAUGAGAAAAUUUCUAUCCUUUCAAAAAAAAAAAAAAAAGAGAAAACAUGAACUACUCAUUAAAGAAUUCCGACAACGAUUACGUUUAAUGAUGGAACACAGGAUUAAAAAAAAAAACGUAAGAACUAGUUCAAUUAAAAAUCCACAAAAAAAAUGUAAAGAAACAAUAUAUUAUUUAUAGCUUAUAAUUCCAUUGGAUUCAGCAUCAUAGGAAUUCGAUGAAUUACAAGAGGAGACAUUAGAUUGCUAAAUAAUAAUGGUACACGACCAAGCUACGGUGGGCAACAAUUAAUACUAGGUUUUAACAGAUCAUCAGACCAAGCAUUGCUUUGAACCUUAUUAGUAUUACCCAAUUCUUUGAGCGUCUCACAUCAAGAUGCAAGCCUAUGGUCACAAAGGAUUUAAAUGAGGGUAAGUUUUAAUUCUUCUUCACAAAAAAAAGUCAAAAAUUGUGGCAUAUCAUUAUAGAAACUAAAAAUGGGAACGAGAAGGGUUGAAUCGGCCUUGUUUAGACAGCAAUUUUUCUUUACGUUUCUGUGAACAAAUUUCUCAAUCACCUUUUUACCUCACAUAUAUCAAAUCGCUACAGUAAUUUUUCUACAAAAAAUCUAGAAAAAUGCAAUCCAAACACAACCAUUAAUUAUAAGGAGAAGAUUCUGAAUUUAAUACCUUUCACUUGCAAAUAAAAUAAUAAAAAAAAAGCACUAAAACAGUUACAGAAAAACUACCUUUAAUGAUAAGGGAGAACUAUAAGUGCACAAUAUCUGCGUAUAUUACUUUAACCAAGUGUCAAGCUUUAAUUGCACCAAAUUUUUGUCAAAGUCCUAGCAAGCAUGCAUGAUAAUUCAAUCUCGCAAGGACUUCAAUCGGCAAGAUGUUGAGAUGAAAUUUACUCCAAUCGGAAGUGAUGUUUUGUUAAUGACUUCAACUAUUAUAAAUAUCAUUUCUCUAAGAGUAACUUUGAUUUUUUAAACAUGCUAUCACUCCUACUUUCAAGAAAAAAAAAAUUACUUUCAUUCAAAUUAAAGGUGAGCUAACUUAAUAAAUCAGACGGGCAUAUUAUGUUUUACCAUCAAUAACUGUAUAUUGUUCAUUUACAUAUGCCAUAAGUGUCAUAAAAGAAAUAAAAUUUAAAACAAAAAAUUGGUAAAUUUCUCCUCACUUAAGAACUGCAUAUGAGUACAAUUUUCAACAUUUUAUCUAUUUUUUUCCCCUUUCCUUUUUAUGUCUCAAUAGAGGCAUAUAGUCUAACCACACCAAACCACGAAUUUGCUUGCAUACCACAUAUAUCGCAAACAUACACGCACAAACAAGAUUUUCUACCCUAAUUUUGUGCGUGCAUAUUACAUGCCUAUGCAAACAUGUCACAAGUCCAAGUAAGUUAAUUACCAACCAAAUUUUAUAAUAAUCUGACAUUAAAAUAAAAUUUUCUAUUCUCAAGACUCAACUUGACAGGAAAGUUCUUGGUUCGAUUCUUAAACCCCCCCCCCCCCUUUCCCCUUUAUCUCUUAUAAGGUUUGGAGGGAAAAAAAAGUAUAACCUUCCAAGAAAGUUUCUAAAAAACUCAAAUAUGGCUAGAUAAAUGUCAAUUAUCGUUACAUCGAGCCAAAAGUACGUGUCUGAUGAGAUUUGAUGGAAGUAAUGCCUUAGUCCACAGUGAAGGAAAAAGAAAGAACAGAAUUUCUACAGCAAUUGUUUGUGUCCGUGCAUAGCAAGUGCAUGUAAACCAGGCGCAUCCCACAAGUCAAAAUUAAUUAACUACCACAUUUUAUGGUUAUAUGACACUGAAAACGAAAAACUUUAACCCCAAAACGCACAAAUUUGGCUAGUUUAAUUUCUCCCAAUAUUAUUUGUUCAGAACAAAUUUUAUGUAGUAAUGCCUUGGUCCGUCAUGUAAAAGAAGAAAGAAUACGGGUUUCUAAUGAUAGACCAAAAUUUUUGUUCGAUUCCCCGCGUACAAAAUUUUUCGCCCUAAUUAUGUUUGAGAGUGUAUAACAUUUGCAUACAAACUACUAUAUCCCACGAGUUGAAGUUAAUUAAUUACCAAAGUUUAGGGUUAUUUGAAAUUAAAACAAAAAAAAAAUUCCCAAAAACUGUUGAUUCCAAAUCAUCAAAAUAUGGCUAUAAGUAUAAUUUCUCUAGAUAAAAAAAAAAAAUCAGUUCUAUAGCAUUGCUCCAAAGUUAUGGGCCUAAUUAUGUACGUGCGUGCAUGCUAGAUGCCUUUAAACCACGCACAUGCCACAAGUCAAUGCUGAUCAAUUACCAAAAUUUAUGUUCAUUUGACGUUAAAAAUAAAAAUUCUCAAAAACAUUUUAUUCCAAAACAUCCAAAUAUGACUAAGUUUAAUAUCUCGUUGUAAAAGUUGAAAGUAUUAAUUAUAAUGGCACUGCUCCAAAGUUUUUAGAUCAAAUUUGAUGGUAGUGAUACCAUGAUCUAUCAUAUGAAAAAAAGAAACAACAAACAUGUGAACAAAGUUUGCUCCAAAGUUAUGUGUGUGAUCAAAUUUGAUGGAAGUGAUGUCUUGAUUUAUAUGAGAAGAAGAAAGAACAAACAUUUUUGCAUGUUGGACGCAAAAAUUUUGUAUGCAAAAAUGUUUGUUUUGAUUUCACAGGCACAAGAUUUUCAACCCUAAUUAUAUUUAUGCAUGCAUGCCACGUGCAUAUGAACCACACACAUUUCAUAAGUUAAUUACAAAAUAAAUUUUAUAUACAUUAACAUUGUAUACAUUAUUACCGUUAAAUCCAUGACCUCUGUGCAAAAAUUGAAUUUUGAAUUCAAAUUUUAUAUAAUUGUGAUUUAUCCAAAGCUAACAGUGUAUACACUAUUAGUGUAAGAAAGAUUAAUCCUUAAUUAAAUACUACCAAACUUUUACGAUUAUUUGACAUUAAAAACAAAAACUCCUACAAACUUUCAAUUCCAAAACAUCCAAAUAUGGCUAAAUUUAAUUUCUCUCGGUAAAAGUUAGAAGUACUAAGAAUUAAUCCAAAGUUAUGGGGCUAAUCAAAUUUGAUGGAAAUGAUGCAUUGAUCUAUCAUGUAUGGAGAUAAAAGAACAAGAAAAUGUUUCUUGUGCCUGAUUCGCAUAAUUUUGUUUCCACACACAAAGAAAAAUUCUACUCAAAUUAUGUGUCACGUGGAUGCAGCGGGCAUGCAAACUGCGCUCAUGCCACAAAAUUAACUAUUUUUUCUUAAACGGUGUGAAAAAACAAUCAGGAUUAUCAAAGUGGGACGGAGGGAGUAGUUGCCAAAUCAUAUUUUGGUUAUUUGAUGCUAAAACCAAGAGCCUUUAUUUCCAAAACAUUCAAAUAUGGUUAAGUUUAAUAUCUCUCCUUAAUACUCCAAGCUCCCAACAAAUUUUAAUUCGCAAACAUUCAAAUAUGGCUAAGGUUAAUAUCUCUUCUUAAAAGCGCUACAUUAUCGCAUUGCUCCAAAUUUAUGUGUUUGAUCAAAUUUUAUACAAUUGGAUUCCCGAAGAAGAAAGAUCAAAGCUUUCAAAUAAGGAUACUCAUGAUUAGGAUAGAAAUGUCUUGGUGGCAUGCAAGGAUAUGGUAAAAUUAUUAUUGUUUGGAAAGGGUUUUCUACCAGAAGAAUCUUUACGUUGUCUUUGAAUAUAUUUUUUAACUAUUUUUUUAUAUUAUAUAUAUUAAAUCGUUACAAUAUAUUUUAUACAUAAACUUAAAAAAAUUGUAAUCCAAACACAAUAAAUAGCAACCAAACAACGAUGAGGGGAAGCCUGCAGGUAUGCUUGACCAGGUGGGGAUGUAUUGUAUGAUUCAACAAUUAACGUGAGAAUGAACUUGAGUACACACUGUACACUUCAUGAUUCCAAUAGGCAAGCUGUAAUUUACCGUCAAUAAAUUUUGAUGACGCCGCAAUUUCCACCAUAAUUUACUCCUCCCUUCCACUCCAUACCCCCAUCAAUCAAUCCAUGGUUCAAUUUCAAUAAUGUCACUUCUUCCUUUGUUGUCUCAAUAAAUACACUACAUUUUGACCCCAUCUUCGAAUACAUUUGGGGACCAAACCCAAGCCACAAAUCACAGCUCCUCGUUCCUUUUUUUAACUCCACCUCACCCCUGUUUUUCUUCCUUCCAAUAAUCCUCAUUUCUCAACUCCGUAAGGUCCCAAAUAAACAAACUCUCCUAUCCCUUUCUUUCUUCAAGUCUUUUUCUCCAUGACCUUCUUGCCGCCCUAACCAUUCAAAUAAUCCAAAUCAAAACCAAUAAGAAAGGUCGCCGGAAUUUCUCCUACUCACUCAAAGCUCAGAUGGGGUGCUGUGUUAGCACUACUAAUGACAAACCUUCAGCUCAAAAUCUUCCUCACAAUUCGAAACAAAACCGAACUCCACCACCGCCUUCCCACCCGUUGCUCGAGGAAGAAUCUGUUAAAGAAGUGCUCUCAGAAACUCCCUCGGUGCCCAAGAAGCCUACCAUCGUAAGAGGACGUCACGAGUACCAAGACCCCAAAAAGUUCAAAUCCUUAUUGCCAGCCACUGCUCCUAAUAUCCCAGAUGAAAAGUUCAAGAAACCCAUUAUGGUUUUGAAGCCGGAGGAGUUUUCUGAAGAGGCUUCUGAGAUCUGCAGCACUCUCAGUGAGAGUGUUUCAACGGCUACUUACUGCACGGAGAAGAAUGACGAUGAUGGGACUGACAACCGGCUCAGGUCUUUCCGGCAUCGGUCGCUGUCCGGGGAUUGCAGGAGGGAAAGGGUCGGCGGAAAGUCGCCGUCGAAGAGGACCGAACCAUCUCCGGAUCCGGAUCCGGCAGAGAUGCCCGCGGGCGAGUGGCUAACAAUGGCCAGAAGAGAGAUUGUGGAGAGAGCUCUGGCCGGAGGUCUAGGUCUCCGGCGACGCGUUCGGAAGGUGGUGGCGCGAAGACGGGUCUGGUAAGAAAUGGGUCCGCCAGGAAGGGCGGGAAGUCUCCGGGUCGGGUCAAGUCGGAAGUGGGUGAUAAGAUCCGGAAGGUGGAGGAUGCUCACAAUGGCAACUUUGGCUAUAGUAACAGAGAGAGCAGAGAAAACAAGUGGCCACCGACGAGCAAUGAGUCCCUGGAAAAUCCGCUUGUGUCCUUGGAAUGUUUUAUUUUUCUGUAAUAGACAUAUGGUUGGAGUUGUAAUUUGGGGGAUUCCCUGGAGGUUGCUUUUGGUAUGUCACGGGAAAAAAGUGAGGCCGCUGGAAAUCGGAGAUUUGAUCUAUGCCCUUUGAUUUUGUAAGUGAAAAAGUCAAAAGGUAAAAGUUUGGAGGGAAAAGAUUCGUCAGAUUCUGGAAUUUCUAAAAUCACCUCUCUGAUAUCUGUGAAUUGUUUGUACUAUUGGCUUCAUUGACAAGCAAAGGUCAUGUAGAUUUCUUGUACCACCAAUGAACAGGAGGAUCCAGUGCCUGCCCUUUUUUGUUGUGUACUGUUCUUUUGCCACCGAAAACCUUGGAUUGCAAUUGCUGUGACUCCGUGAACAUGUUUUUUUUAAUUAUAUUUUAUUUUACAUGUAUUAAAUCGUUACAGUAAUUUUAUUUUAUAAAAAUUUCAAAAAAAUACAAUUCAAUCAAAACCUUGAUUGGCCAUUCUCUAAUGUUUCGUAGUUGUCAUUAAUUGAAAAUGUUACUUUGAUGACUGUGAUUAAGCACUAGCUAAGUCACUAAUCUCACCGUGAUUAUGAGCAUACAACUUCUCCAAGGAACCUGUAUGACAUAAUAAGGCCAAUUCCCUUUAAGGUCUUGUUCGGAUUGUUACUAUAUGUUUUUAGGAAAAACUUUUCCGUCUUCCGCAGAUAUUUUUUUAAUAAUCCUUUUAUCUCACAUAUAUUACAUUCUGUCUUCGAAACCUUAAACUUUGUCCCUAGCACCCAGAAUUAAAAAAAGCAACAGAUGUUAUCGCUGGAUGGUGGGUACAUUGUGCAUUGCAUUCAAUACUCAUACCUCUGACGAUGAAAUUUAGUAAUAAAGGCUCACAGCUCAUUUGAUGCUGGUCAAUAUUGGAAUGGGGUGGAGGCAUGUGCCAAAGAUAUAAUCAAGAGGACUGACUGGAAGGAAGGUUGGGAUCCGAGUAUGGCGAGAGAUCUUGGUCUUUCUUUCCCCUUCUAUUAUUAUAUGAGGUGAGGUCGAGACCUUCUUAUUUAUGGAUGACCAAAUUUUCUGUUUUCUAAUGGCUUUGUUGUUGAGGAUGAAUUGGUUCUGUUUUUGGAUGCACUCUUCCAAACAGACGACGAGGUCAAUGCGAUUGUAGCUCAUUGGACCCCAUUUGGAUUUUGCCAACCCGAUUGAAAAUGAAUUCACAAGAUCAACCAUAAAUGCUGCUACGUACUACUUACCAUACUACAUCACCAUAAAAUAAAGGGAUAUUUUCAGAAAAAUGGUUUUUUUUUUUUUUUUUUAAAAAAAAGAGCUUUCAAAACAUCUAUUCUGACCACAUUUUGUCUUCAUCUCAAAUACAUAACGUCGAACAGAACAAAAUUCGGUACGCUAAUAUUUUCUGAAAAUUCUUGUAGAAAAUGCAAUCUAAACAGAGUAGAGUAAUCAGGAGAGGUAGGAUUGGAUUUUGGGUUAAUGUUUGAGAAUUUUUUUCUUUCCCGUAGUUCUUCUGAAGCAAAAUAGGAUCACUGUCCUCCCUGUGAUAUGAAACAAAAUUUAUUAUGAAUCUGAUGGUGAUUUUUUUUUUCUUUUUCUUUUUAGGGUUUCAUGGUAGAAAUUUUGAUAUUGACUAAUGACUAUGGUUUAUGAAGAAGCACGGAGCUUCCCCGAGGAGAGCUGACCUGAUCAGCUCGGGGUACUGAUGGAAGAGCUGACUCCAAGCCUGCAAAACAGAAGGGACGAGCUAACAAAGGGGGCCCGAGGGUUGUCCCCGAGGGCACUCCGACGGUCAAGUUAGUUUUCCGGUGAGUAGAGUUCACGGGAAGUAAUAACAGCCGGGAGAAAUUUGCCUAUGUUGAGCGUACCUUGGGCAAUGGGUGUGUAGCACUAUUUAUACUUGGGUCAGAGUCCGACCUCCGUACGUUCCGAGACCUUCCUGAUAUAAUCUCAAUCCCGCGCCGAGCGGGAUUCCGACCUCUGCGGGACGGUCUCCUGAUCCCCCUGGAGCUCUAGCGGGGGUGCGGCCCAGGGCGGUCGCCAGGAGCUUGGGGCCGGAGCCCAGCUCGGCUUUACCUGGGCUGCCACGUGUCUAGGCCCAGUAUGGGGCCUCUGCACUAGCCCCCUAGAUUAGGUAAGACUUCCAGGCAGACCUAAUUUAUACUCUGCCACGUGGGAGACCAGCGUCGCGCACUGCUCUGCCCUGGUCACCUCUGGUACAGUGCUGUCACUGAGAAAACCGCGCCGAUCUCCUGGGUCGAGCGUCAAACUCCCAAGUUUCGACAAACUUGAUCAAUGCGUGCCGACCUCAUGGGACCGAGCAUCAAAUUGCCACUGACAUGGUUUAAGCCCCCGACUUUUAAAGUUUUGAGCCUUGCCGACCUCUUGGGUCAAACAAACCCAUUCAACUUAAGGCACAACGUGCCGACCUCUUGGGGCCGAACAUCGCACUUUCCGACUUCAAAAUUUCAAGCCGUGCCGACCCCUUGUGGCCGAGCAUCAUACUUUGAAUGCAGUCACGCCGACCUCCCGGGUCGAGCGUCGAACUCUGAUUUUAGCGGAUAUGCCAAUCUCUUGGGGUCGAGCAUCACAUUUCCAAGGCAGUUAUGCCGACCUCUUGGGUCGAGCGUUGAACUCCCUGAUUUUAGCAGAGGUGCCGACCUCUUGGGGUCGAGCAUCACAUUUUCCAGGCAGUCAUGCCGACCUCCUGGGUCGAGCAUUACAUUCUCAGGGCAAUCGUGCCGACCUCCUGGGCCGAGCCAGCGUGCUCCCAGGUUUUGACAAGCUGCCUCAAAGUAAGUCACGGCGUGCCGACCUCUUGGGGUCGAGCAUCACACCUUCAAGACGGUCAUGCCGAUCUCUUGGGUUGAGCGUCAAGCCUCCCGUCUUUAACAGGCGUGCCGACCUCUUGGGGUCGAGCAGCGCACUCUCAAAUUUCACAAUUUAAAGCCGUUUGCGGACCUCAUGGGGGGUUUUUCCGUUCUCUCCGCUCUCCGAGCCCCCGAUCUGACUCUUUCUUCAGGCGGGCUGCCUCCUCUGCGUUGACAGCCGCGUGCGCCCUGCGAAGGAGCUCCUCCAGGUUUACGGGAGGCUUCUUGGCCAGGUCGUAGAAAAGCUCCUCUACCCUGACCCCGUUUGUGAAGGCGGCCAUCACUACAUUUUCGUCCUUGUCCCUGACCUGUAAGCUCUCCGCAUUGAAGCGGGUCAUGAAAUUCCUCAGUGACUCGUCUGGCCUUUGCCUGAUGGACAUCAGGUGGGUUGCGUUCCUCGCGUAGACCUUCGAGGAGACGAACUGGGCUGCAAACUGCCAGGCCAGCUCGGGAAAGCUCCGUAUAGACCCCGAUUUCAGUCCCUGGAACCAGAGCCGCACCUUCCUCUUUAGGAACAUAGGGAAGGUCUUGCAGCGGAUCUCAUCCGCGGCGGUUUGCAGGCGCAUAUGCGUCAGGAAGACCGAAAGGUGGUCUUCUGGAUCUGUGGAGGCAUCGUACAUCUCAAUGCUCGGAAUCUUAAACCUCCGGGGUAGAGGGUAGUCCUCUAUUUCCCGGGUAAAAGGCGAGAUUGCGUAGUUGUCCUCGUACUGCCGGGGCCUCAGGAUCCGCUCAAGCUCAUCCCGGGCAGGGUCCGAAUGCAGGUGGUCGCGAGGUCGGCUCCUGGCAGACCUGUCUGGAGAGUGCACGAGACCGUUCCUUGCAGGCCUCGCCGGCGAGGGACCCCUCGGCUUGCUCCCCGUGAACCUGUGUCGGGAGUACCUUUCGUUGUCUCCGACUUCCGAGGUUCGCGGGCGAGCCGGCGUCCGUGGCCGUUUCCUCCCGGGGGGUUGGUCGCGCGACUCAUCCUCCGAGGGUUCGGGGAGUGGCUCCUUCUCCUUCCCCUUCGCCUUGGAGGUCUGCGCACCUCCAGCCUCCUCCCCCUCCUUUGCCUGCCGGAUGAUAUCUUCCAGCAUGGGGAGGUUCUCCGUCACGAAUUGGAGGAUCUGCUGCCUCCUUUCUCCUGAAGGGGCUGAGCCCCCGGCGCCCCGAGAAGCCUCAAUUUCCUUUCGCUGGGAUCCUUCACCGCCCCCCGGGCCGGUGCUUUCUACCGUGCGUUUGGAUCGCGUCCUGGCCAUCAGCACAAUCUUACUUACCUUACGGUUCCCACAGACGGCGCCAACUGAAGAAGCACGGAGCUUCCCCGAGGAGAGCUGACCUGAUCAGCUCGGGGUGCUGAUGGAAGAGCUGACUCCAAGCCUGCAAAACAGAAGGGACGAGCUAACAAAGGGGGCCCGAGGGUUGUCCCCGAGGGCACUCCGACGGUCAAGUUAGUUUUCCGGUGAGUAGAGUUCACGGGAAAUAAUAACAGCCGGGAGAAAUUUGCCUAUGUUGAGCGUACCUUGGGCAAUGGGUGUGUAGCACCAUUUAUACCUGGGUCAGAGUCCGACCUCCGUACGUUCCGAGACCUUCCUGAUAUAAUCUCAAUCCCGCGCCGAGCGGGAUUCCGACCUCUGCGGGACGGUCUCCUGAUCCCCCUGGAGCCCUAGCGGGGGUGCGGCCCAGGGCGGUCGCCAGGAGCUUGGGGCCGGAGCCCAGCUCGGCUUUACCUGAGCUGCCACGUGUCUAGGCCCAGUACGGGGCCUCUGCAGUUUAGAUAGAAAUUUUGAAACUGGAUAGAUCGCAAAUAGUAAUAGGUCAAUAUUGCAGCAGGCAGUCGACAAGUGAACUGCUCUUUUGGACUGGUCUUUGGGGUCUUUUUCUUGGCCGACAUGGUCUCAACAAGAUGAAUGAAAUUUGAUGGGACGAACGGAAUUUUAUUUUAUGUCGAUUAGAUCAUCAAUUUCAAGCAUAUAAUUUUCCCGGUACAGAAAGAAAGUGGACAUUUGCUUCCUAUCUUUGCCUUUUAGUUGGUUGUUAGUACUUUGUUUUAUUGUGUUUAUUCUCGAUUAUUUGCAGUUCUUCUUUCGGACAAUGCUUUAGUAACAAUAGUUAUAGUAACGAAACAGUUUUUACCUACUAUAACAGGUUAUUGCACUUUUAGCGAUCAUUUAAUUGCUUGUUGGACCCAUCCAUUUAUAUAGGAUAACACCUAAAAAUAUGGAAGUAAGUUUCCCAUCUAAAAUAGUAAGUUAACCCUAAUAGAUUAGUAAUUUUUAUACUUCAAAAGGUAAAUUAGAAUCAAGAUUAAACUUACUUUUUAAAUAAAUAAAUUACUACUUUAUAUCCCAAACUUACUUUCUAGAGAGUAAGUUUAGUUCAAGACUUCAAGUAACAGUAAGUUUUUAUACAUAAAUAGUAAUUCUUACUAAUAAUAUGGAAAAUUAGAUUAAUGAUCAAAACUUACUGAUUUUUAGAAUACAUGUACAAUUUUACAUUAAAAAAUUAUCUCAAACUAGUAUUAGGAAGUUUAUUUAAAAUAAUGAUAAGAUGUUUUAUUAAUGAUUAAAACUUAAUACCUUAAUUAGUAAGUACUCGUAAUAUACCUAUAUAAUAAAUGAUUAUAUGUAUAAUUUAAAAUUUUUUUGUAUUUAUAUAUUUUAAAAUACUAUGAAAAGUAGUUUCACUUUUCAAAUAACCUUGUAAAAUAUGUAAUAAAAUUUUGCCAUAUUAUAAGUUUUUAAUCAUUUUCAAUUUUUGAAAAGUUUGAAAGUUUGGAUAAUAAUAACAACAAAUCUUCCUAGUUAUAUAUAGAAUAUCACUUGUUUAUAUAUCACAAUUUUUAUAAUUUAACACCUAUGAAAUAUAAUAAGAUGAUAAGUUUUAAUAAAUUUACAUCUGGGAUACAAAAAUUAAUAAGAGUUAAAGCCCAAACAAACUGAGAAAUAGUAUAACAAUAAAAAUGACAAAAUUAGUAUAACAGUUAAUAUAAAAAAAUCAGUAUGAUCUGGACUUUUUUCCUUGGGGGAUUGUUCAUAAAAAUAAGAUCCAACAAUUAAAUAAAAAUCACUUGCACAUAUAAUCUAUUGUAUAAUUUAAAUUAAAUUCAGUUCACGUAUAAAACGGUUCAAAAAUAAUUAGCACACUAUGAUACAAUGUUAUUUUAACAACAAAUUUUUUUUUUACUAAAAGUCUCAAAUAUCCAUGACAUACAUAUGAGGGAUAUUUUACCAUAUUUGUAUCUAAUUAUAAACACAAAUUUCGUUGCCGAAAAUAAAAGAUAUGAAAAUUUGCACAAAUAUCAAAUUUAUUAAAUCAAAUAAUAAGAGAGUUACAAUCUCUAAAAAUUAUUUUUUCUUUUGAUAAUUAAAAUCUCUAAAAAUUCUUGAAUCAAAGAAAUUAAUCCCUAAUUCUUCUCUUCAAAAGCACUCCUAAUUAAAGCAUAAUAAAAUCAAGUUUUUUAACUUUUUAAUGUAGUAGUUAUGUUUACUAAAAAAAUUAGUAAACCAUUCCUACAAAUGCAUUGCUUCUCCUAUAAGUACUAAUAUUUUGUAAAUAAAUUGAAAUAAUUUUGUAAAAGAUUUUAUGCAUUUUCACUAAUAUAAUCAAUAGAAUUUUGCAUCUUUAAAAUAUAAAUAGAAAGGAAGGGAAAUAGUAUGAGUAUAAAGGUGACCAAAUACAAUAUAUAUCACAUCAUGUGUUUAGAUAUGAUUUGUUAAGUAAUCAGUAAUUUAGUCCUGGUCAAUAUAUGAUGCAUAUUGAUUUCUUAUAAAUAAAAAUAUAAUUUAGCAAUUAUGCACUAACAGAAUUCAUAGUUUGAAUGCAAUCAAUUGAGCGCCUAUUUCUUUCUUUUAAGUAGCUAUUAUUUAUUUUAUUACUUAGGUUAUAUAUUUACAUGUAAAAUAACAACAAUAGCAUGCCAAUCCUCGGACCAACAGAACUUCAAUUAUUGUUAACUAAACUAAUUUUACAUUGAUAAAAAAUAGUCUAGAAAAUGAAAUGUUAAUGGCAACAAUUGGUCAAAAAUAGCAAUCUUUAAUUUUGGGAAAAUAAAAAAUAAGUUCCCAAAAUAUUUCACUUUUAUUUUUAAAAAAAUCUCAACUUGUUAAUUAAAUUCAAAAUGAUUUUAUUAUAAAAAAUAUUCUUCCUCAAAUUAACAUCAAUGAUUAGACAUGAGAUACAAAUAUGGGAAAAAAGAGAUAAAAAUAUGGUAAAAUAUCUCUCAUACAUAUAUCAUGGAUAUUGGAGACUUUUGGGAAAAAAAUUUUUGUUGUUAAAAUAAUAUGGUAUUGUAGUGUGCUAAUUAUUUUAAGAUCAUUUUGUACAUGAACUAAAUUUAAUUUAAAUUAUAUAAUAGAUUAUAUAUGCAUGUGAAUUUUGUUUAGUGGUUGGAUCUUAUAUUCGUGAACAAUCUCCAGAGAAAAAAAAUUCCAAAUUAUACUAAUUUUGUUAUACUAAUUCUAUUAUUUUUAUUGUUGUAGUAAUUGUUACACUAUUUCUCUCAUUUUGUUAGGUCUAUAUUAAUACAAGUUUAUUUCUUAUUAUUUCUUGUGUCCCAGACAAUCAAUAUAUUAAAACUUUAUCAUCUUAUUAUAUUAAUAGGUUUUAACUUAUAGAAAUUACAUAGAUAAGUGAUAUUCCAUAUAUAACUAGGAAGAUGAAUUGUUAUUAUUAUCCAAAUUUUUAAACUUUUCAAAACUUAUUCAAAACUAUAAUACGAAAAAAAUUUUAUUAUUUUAUAAGGUUAUGUGAAAGGUCAAAAUAUUUUUCAUAGUAUUUUAAAAUAUAGAAAUGCAAAAAAAAUUUAAAUUGUACAUAUAAUCAUGUAUUAUACAAGUAUAUUACGAGUACUUACUAACUAAGGCACUAAGUUUUAAUUAUUAAUAAAACAUUUUAUUGUUAUUUCAAAUAAACUUCCUAGUAUUGGUUUGGUAUAAGUUUUUUAAGCAAAAUAGUACAUUUGUGCCAUAAAUUAGUAAGUUUUGGUCAUUAAUCAAAUUUACUAUGUUAUAAGUAAGAAUUACUAUUUACGUAUAAAAACUUAUUAUUAUUUGAACUAAACUUACUCUCUCAAAAGUAUGUUUGCGAUAUAAAAUAGUAAUUUAUCUUUUUAAAAGUAAGUUUCAUAGUUAUUCCAAUUUACCUUUUGAGACACAAAAGUUACAAAUUACUAUGGUUAACUUACUAUUUUAGAUGAGAAACUUACUUCCUUAUUUUUAGGCAUUAUUCUAUUUAAGUGGAUAAUCCAACAGGUAAUCAAAUAAUCGUUAAAAGUAUAAUAACUUGUUAUAUCAAGUAAAAACUGUUCAGUUAUCAUAACGAUAGUUACUCCUGCAGGCAGGCAGGCAAUAUUGCAGCAGGCAGUCGACAAGUGAACUGCUCUUUUGGACUGGUCUUUGGGGUCUUUUUCUUGGCCGACAUGGUCUCAACAAGAUGAAUGAAAUUUGAUGGGACGAACGGAAUUUUAUUUUAUGUCGAUUAGAUCAUCAAUUUCAAGCAUAUAAUUUUCCCGGUACAGAAAGUGGACAUUUGCUUCCUAUCUUUGCCUUUUUGUUGGUUGUUAGUACUUUGUUUUAUUGUGUUUAUUCUCGAUUAUUUGCGGUUCUUCUUUCAAUCCAUUCUCUUAAUUAUGGGAGAAAGAGAGAGAAAAAGGACGAAAGAGAAAGAGAGGGGCUCAAGAGCUGAAUCAAAAUUUCAUGGUCAUUUAACUAAUAUCUCUAUCAGUUAAGUUGUUGGGUCAUAGAACCUUCGAUUUCUUGUUUGACGUGAAACAAUAAUUUGAUCCGAGAAGAAAGGAAGCAAACAAGACAUGUGCAUCUCCUCUUUGCCAAUUGAGCUUUAGGAACUUGCCCGCUAUGAAACGCCAUUGAAGUUUUAUGCAAUAAGUUGUAAACAAAUACUCACUAUGUCUCAAAUUAUUGGUGGCAUUUCGAGAUUUCAAUUUUUUAAAAAUAAUUACUUGACUGCGAUAUUAAUAGGUUUGUUUCCAAAGUUGUUCUAAAAAAUUCAAAAUUUAAAUUUGAAUUUAAUGUAAAACAUAAUCAAAGAUGAGAAUAAUAUUAGAAAAAGAGAUUAAUAAAAGUAACUUUGAUUUAAGUAAAAUGACAAAUAUUUUACAACAUCCCAAAAUGGAAAAUAUAGAACUUUCAACCAAAGUGAGGGAGUAGCUAUUCUACCGACCUUUCAAAAUUUUGAAAGGACCAAGCUACUUUUUAUAGAAGGCACCGCAGGAGAGUGCCAUUAAGCUCCUAUAAUAUAAGCAAAUGUAUACUUCCUUUAUCGCCCAACUAUGUGGGAUUCCUGCAAUCGUCUCAACAUUACCAAUCAUCGUUCAUCUCUCUACCUAAUUAGCGGGUUCUUUGUAUUCCGCGGGACAAGCACACCAAAAUAAGUAGGCAUUAUUAGGGUGCAAACGAGGCAGAUCGAAUCGAAUCUCAAUUUAAUUUUAUGAAGUUUGAGCUCGAUGGACUCAAAAUAUAAAGAUCGAACUCAAACUCGAGUUUAAAAGAAAACAUAAUUAUUUUAUUUUUAAAAAAAUAAAUAAAAUAAUAAUUUUUCUUAACAAAUAAUAAAAUAUUAAGAAUAUAUCUAUGUAAUUUUAUUAUUAAAAUAAAAAAUAAAAGAUAUAUAUAUAAUCGAGUCGAUUCGCAAGUUAACGAGUUGAAUAUCUUUGAUCUCGAAUUCGACUUGAUCAGUUUGACCUCGAUAUUGACCGAGCUUGAGUCGGGUUCGAAUUCGAAUUGCUCGCAAGCGGUUUGAUUCGUUUGCAGUCCUAGGCAUUAUAUAGAAUUUUGACGUUAUUAUCCUUUCUUGAAUUACUACACUUUAACAUAAAAAAAAUUUAAAAGUCCUACAGAUCAGCACCAUUUGUUAUCGUGUACUCCAAACCUCACUAUAUUCUGUUUGCUAAACGUAUAGAAUGGAAGACUCCAUAUUUAGUGAUAUAGAACUUGAUUUUAAGGAAUCUCUUUUUAAAAAAAAAAUUGUUUGCUUUAUGUUUCAGCACACAGGGUUUAUUAGACAGGAAAAUAGAAUAACUUUUUAAGAGCCUGCUUUUUUCGUGGAAAGAAAACUCAAGAGCAACUGGUGCACAGUGGAGCUAUAUGCGUCUGCUCGGUUUAUUAAAUAAAGUAGCCCAAAAAACUAGUAUUGUCUUUUGUUCUGCAGUAGAAAACUAGGCUACGAGAUAUAGAAGCCCGUAAAAACAUGGGCUCCCGAUCAGAACCAUUCAUUUCCACAUAUCCGGACUCCUUCUCAGAACUGCCCCCUUGUCUGGACAGGAUGAACAGCAAGAAAUGGAAGUUGCAAUAUGACGUCCUGUCCCAUUAUUCAGCGUGCUUGCAAACAUUGAUGAAGGCCUUUUAUUUUAUUAUUAUUGUUGUUGUUGUUUAGUCGAGUUUAGUCUAUAAUAGUUCCCUUAUUUAGUAGUUUGAAUAUGGAAUAUUAAAUGCUGUGUUUGUAUCUUGUUCAUCAAAUCAUAUGGAAUAAUAUGGGAUUUUAAGUAAGGUACUUUUGUUAUCAUGGUAAAUUGAAAAGAGCUGCUUAAAGUGAUUGGGUUCAAAACUUAUGAACAUGCCCAUCAAUGGUUGUAGGGGCUCAAUAUAGUUCAAAUUUUUUUUUUUCUGAAUACAAGGUGUUAUUUAUUAUUAUUCUUUUCUAAGUAAGAGUUCUUGAACUUAAACUUACAAUCCCUCCCUCUUACUUCCCAACCCAACCCUCUCCUAUAUGUUGUGCAUUAUGACGUACUAUUGAUCACAAAAGAGACUGCAAUUCAAUAUCAAAUGCUCAAAUUGGUCGAUUAUUGGAAUCUGAAUAAUAUUUAAGGAACAAGAUCAAUUCAGAAUCACGUAGACCAUUUAUCACGAGUAACCAUCCUUAUUACCCAAAAAAAAAAAAACCAUCCUUUUUUCAAACUACGUUACACAUUGAGCAGCUAGCAGGGCAUUUGAGAAAAGGGGGAUACACAUUUGACUUGAGAGAGGAGGAUGGAGAUAGCUGGACUAGAUUCAAAGCAUGGUCUAAACUAGGGCAAGGAGCCGAGGGGGUGGCGUACAAUACUCGCGCCAAAUCAGAUUCCAAAGAAGUAAAUAUUCUCAUCAUAAGCUGCAACCUUAAAUAGCUAAAUAACGGCAGUCUUGUACACUUUUUUGAUGACUUUCAGCCAGCCAGUUUCUAUAGCAAGUAGAAGAACAAUCCCCAAAGUCCAUGCUUGAGAAAAUUGAUGACAUCCCAAGAAAGAACACUCUCCAAGUGAACUCAAGGUGAAGAAAUUAACCUUCCUUAUUGCAAUGGAUAGUAGCGAUGGUUCUCGCUACCUGGAGGCUUUGAAUGGACUCUGAAGAUGAUGCAGCAUAUCGACAACAGAUGGAAUUAUAUGCAUGCUCCCCCCCCCCCCCUCACAUUCUUAUAAGGAAAUUUCAGAUGCUCGUGCCUAAAUGAUAUAUACAACAUUUGAAGAGCCUGUAGGGAAAAAGGCACGAUUUAUAUUCACCAACAGUUUUUACUCGUGCACGUGACUGCUGCACCAGUUGCUUGCAAAGUGAAAGUAAAGAUGGAAACUUUGAAGCCUUUCUUCUUUUUUUUUUGUUGGAAGUUUGUUGCUGUCACAUUGAGCCUGAGGAUGUACUUGAAUUUGGGUCCAUGGCGCUCUUUGGAAAGGAAUGAUGUUGAUGAGAAGGCCAUCGAAUUCGCUCAGGAGGACAAGGCACAGGAGCUGGGUGCGCUAUAAAGGUAGGCAUGUCUUCUCCAGGCAUUAGAACAGACACCUCUCUGGCACUUGUAGGCAUCUGAAAUAUUUCGACAAAAAGAGUCACAAGGACUUCCAAGAGUGUAUUUCACAAAGGGCAUCAAUUAUUUUAUGAGAAAUUCUACAAUGUGGUAUACCACAAUUCGUAGAAACAAGAGUGUGACCCAUGAGAUACCGCAAAUGCGGUAUACACAUGGUAGAUGAUCCCAUAAUUUUAUACCAAAUAGGAGUUACUGAACAAUCUGUUGUAAAUUGCAAAACGCAUGGCACAUAGAAACAUGCUUUUAUCAAAGAAGCAGCAUAUUUUGUUCAUUGAAAAGAGGACUGAAAAGGUAGCUAGCUCUCUAUCGGUACUUGACCGAUGGAAGUUUUUACGAAAUGAUGAAGGAAAGUGGAAAGUGUGGAGUGCAGGUAAAGUUUGGUCACUGCAGGAUGGUGACCAUCAUGAUCUGAUUAACUGUGUAUCAUAGUUAGAACCUCGGCUACUCCUAUUUGCUUCCACUAAGCAAUCUUGGAAAAAGGGCAACUGCAUGCUGAGCAAAUUCGUGCUCUUGUAAAAAAUGCAACCAUGGAGAGAAAAGCAUAAGCAUCCAAUUAUGACCCAAGUAACAUAGAUUGUCACGCAAACCUGAGGAAACAGAAGCUGGAAUGCUCAUUUUUGUUUCGGGAUCAAUAAAAUCCAGGCGAAAUGUUACCUCUGUUACCGUUGAAGCCUGAGGGUAUUGGAAGCAGGUAAAUGUGGGGAAAGAAUUUCACCAGAAACUGGUAAAAACUGUACCAGACAACAAUGCUUGAAUUUGCAAGCACGUCAUUGUCCAUACAAUUUAGCAAAGAAAAUCACUAAACAGUAUAAACCACACAAUUUGCUCGGUAUUAAAUGCCAUGCUGAGAAGCCAGCACAAUCUAGGUAUGCGACUCUUUAUUACUAAAAUGUUUGCAGGAUAGAACAAGAAUUUGGUUAAACAACCAAGCACAUGAAAACUUUACAAACAAACAGAUCAGAGAAGAAUAGAAAUUCAAAAGCUUAUGGCCAGAUAUGCCUUUUUUUAAAUGAUAAUAACAUAGAUGGAAUGAAUUUCAAGAUUAAUGGUGACGGGCCAAGUGGAAUUUAAGUACAGGUGGUGGGCCAAAAAUGGACCAGAAUGAUGGAGCUUCAUGCAGCAUAAAGUCCCAAAUCUCAUUAAUGGGUAGCAAUCGACCAGCUAACAACUUCACUGAUGGGCCAUUGACAAAAAAAUAUAUCAAAUCAGAGGGAGUGUUUUCUGGGGCAUACAAACUUAAGGAACAUGCACAUGCAGACCUGUCAAGGAUCUCAAAUGGUAAAAAUUGUCCAGAGCAGUCAAUGCAGCCUUUCACUUUAUGCCUUUGAAGUUUUUCCUCCUUCUGCCAAUUCUUUAGCUGAAAUGCGCAGAGGCUAAGACAAUAUGAAGCCGGAUUCAUUUUUUUCUGAAACAAGGGCCAAAGGACACCAAACUUUUUUUUUUGCAUAAGCUCUGAGAAUCCUUGCAGGUUCUAGGAAUGUAUUGCAUCCCAGAGGAAGUAAUUAGUUUUCCAACAAUGCGGAAAUGUAUUUUGGAAAUUCACCAUCCAUACGUUCUGACUUCUGAUAUGAUAGAAGACGCCGUAUUGAUCCCAUAAACUUACAAACUCCCCGUCCACCCAACACAGAGGCCGGAAGGUUAUUUCCACAAAAUUUAUAGUGGCAUUCCAAAUUAAACAAUAGCACAUGAUUGGAUUGGUACCAAUCCAAUCCAAUCAUCAUAGCGAUUGAGGUGUAUUUAGAUGAAGAAGCAACCUAAACCAGAAAAGGAAAAGGAGAAGACAAAAGGAACUAGACAAUGAAGAAAAAAGAGACGCCUAAAAAUUGACAUCUAAACGAUUAUUGUAAACUGCCCGAGGAAAAAGAGCUCUCAUAGAAAAGUUUCAAAUAACUUCAAGAUAACCUGAAUUAAAAGAAACCUAAAUGAUGGUGGAAACAGGUCUGAACACAGACCUGAAAACACAAAAACAAGGAAGAAAGGAAUGUUUUUUAAUGGGCACAAACAAGGAGAGCAGAAAAAGAAUGAAAGAAGCGAAAAAUGGCUAAGAAACCAAUUAGCGGAAGAGAAGUGCCAAACCCCCAAAAUUAACAGAGAUGGCCAUAAUCUACGGAAAUACAAACUGACAAAAUCCAGACCACGAAUAAGCAUUAACUGACAAAAUCCAAACUUUCAUCCAUACUUGAGACUGCCAGGCAAUCCCACACAACCAACUCCAAUCAAAUCCCAAGAAGUCACAAAGUUAUGGUCAUUCUUUGACUGCUAGUAGAAAACUUAUCGUAUCCAGACAAGACAAAAACAAUAAAUAACACAAGCAGCUAAAAAGCACUUACUUUGGGUGAUGGAUGACAAAGUUUUCCUGCAAACCCAAUAUGGGACUCGAUGUCAUGAGGAUGUCUGCGCCCAGCAGACGGUGUCAAAGCUGAUGAUGUUGGUCUGAGGAACCUCUCAAAGAUCGCCAUUACUAGAAACAUUGAGAUGAGAAUUGCAGUGGCCACAAACCCAAAAGACACAGCAUUGACUGAGUUAUCAAAGUGCCUCCAGUGAUCAUCUUUUUGUAUGUAAAGUGGUGCACCAUUUGGUGACCAUCCCAUUCCCUCUUCUGCUCCUCCUCCUCCCAUCUUUUUUCUACACCUUUAAGAACUCCAAAUUUCAGAACUAGGAAAAAAGGGUAACAAUCACAAACAUAAUGUGGUGAUCAAAAGACUGAGAGAACAUAUGCAAGAAGACAGUUAUGGCAGUUCAAAAAGAUGGGGAACUAAAUGAGAAGCUUGACUAGAAAAUGCUUUUUGAAGCAAGAACAGUGGUUAAAAUGCUGAGGAGAGUGAGGACUGAGGAAAGGGUACAAAUUUGUUGCUUCAGUCUUGAGACAGAGAUGUUGAAGAAGAGAGAGCUUUGGGAUUUGGACAGAGAAAAGUUAGAUAAGGAGUAAGGAAGGCUUGUGCUAUACUGCUGCGGUUUGUGCGUUUUAUCGUUCUUCCAUUCAGUCAUUUAGCUGUGCAGUGAAAAAGAAGUUGAAUACUUUGGAAAUAUGAAAGCAUCUAAGUGAAUUUCUUUGGAGUGGAUCGCUAUUCAGGAUUUCUUGAAAUUUCACUCAAAGGUGCAAAUAUAUUCCUUUCAUUCGGUAACAGUUCAGUCCCUCCAAAUUUUCUAUUGACUUCAUUGACCCCCUUUUUUUCAGUAUACAGUAAGAAUAAGAUUAGACGUAAAAUAGAAUUUAUGAUAUGUCAAAAAAAAAACAAAGAAUGAAUAACUGUUGCGUUUGUGUGCUGAAUGCUGACUGUUUGACAUAUGAGUCGUCGUUUCUUUUACAGAGGCAGGCAAGCCUAAAGAACUUAAGCCUUAACUUCUGGACUAAUUUGAUAUACUACUAUUAACUACUCUAUUUUGGCAAUAUUUCAGCUACUUUGUCCUCCCAAAUACAAAAACCCCACCUAAUAAGAACCCCUUCCCUUAAUUGAAGGCAUAGGUGUCAUAAAUAAAACUCCACUAGUUUGACCUCUAGUUAGGUAGUGCCUUAUUGGCCUAAUUGGAUUCUUAGGACUUUCCAAGAAGUAGUUACCUGCGGGCUCCCUCCUAAUUUUUUCGACACGCAUGCACAGGUUCCGGAACUCCCCCAUUCCCCUUUCUAGUUUUCCACAUUUUUUCUGCUCAGGGCUGCUUUUGUACCAAAAUAAGGCAUAAGGUGGUGGUACCGGCUAACCGGGCGUCCAAUGGCUAAUCUAAAAUGAAUAAAAUUACCAUAAUUGAUGAAUUUCAGUAUCUGAGAGGUGAAGUCUUUAAUUUUAGAAAACUUCUGGUACGGAAACAAUUUUAUAAAUAACAAAAAAAAGAUCAUUUCAAAUAAACCAACAAAAAGUGGGGUGAAAUUUUGACUAUUUGUACUUCUCGUGACUUUUUACAACACUAGUCAAAACUAAAUUAAUGCUUUUAAUGUGAAACCAUGUUAUAAACUAAAAUGGUUCGAGCUUCACAAACAAGAAUAUUUUCAAUUGAAACGACAAUUUCUUUCUUGGAUUUUGCAUUUGUUUUGGUUUUACUACAUUUUCUCAAAACAUUGAACAUUUUAAAUAUGAGUUACAAUUUUUAUAGUUCCAAAUUGAUUUCCUAAGUGUAAUUGUCUUAAGGUUAGGCAUGUCAUUUAGUAUGCAAAUCCUUUAGAAAUAGAUUUCUGCAAAUGUUUCGCAUUAUCAUUCCCAACUAACACAAUAAUCCCUUCAAAUUUUAUGAAAUUAGGAGAUUGUUCGAAAGAAUUACUCCCUCCGUCCCAUUUUGAUAGUCCCGUUUUCCUUUUUCGUCUGUCCCAAAUUGUAGUCCACUUUUCAAUUGAAAAAUGUAGUUGUACUUUAAUUUUCCUGAAAUACCCUUAUUCAAUGUAAGUUGUUGUUACUAUAAACUUACCCCAUUUAAUGAGAGUUGAUUCUUUUUUUACUAUCAAUUCAAAUUCCCAUAAAGUUGUACCAUAUUUAAUGUGAGGGUAUUUUAGAAAAAUAGCAAUUUAAAUUUAUUUUUCCAACAAAGUUAACUGCUUUUUCUUAAACUGUGUGAAAAAAAAAUGGAACUAUCAAAGUGGGACGGAGGGAGUAUAUUACAUCCAAAGCACAUAUAAAUUAUUUGCAAUACUUACUACAUAGAAAAAACUCAUAGAUAUGAUGGAAAUAUAUUGGGUUUGUUUGAGUUGGUCAAUUUUAAACUCCCCCUUCCCUCCAACCAAAAAAAAAAUCUAUAAUCGUAAAAAAAAUUUUUAUUUUUUUAUUUCACAUACAUAUUGGUCCUACAUUAGGGGAAGGGAGCGGGUCUAAGAAGACCCAAGAGUAAUCCAGAUGGGACUGAACUAUCACUGGACCAAACGAGUGCACUACGCACUCGCCUGAUGAUCGCCAGCAGCCCAAAAGUUGGUGACCUGGUUACGUAACACAUAACUUGCAAGAGUUAGAGUUUGUCGUCUUCACUUCACACUUAUAAACUCUCGGAAAAAUGACUCUGUUUGGUUUCUCCAUUUUUUAAAAAAUAAGUUUUUUGUAUAUAAUACUAUAAUAAUGCACAAGCAAAUACAAUUCAAAAAAUACAUAUCUAUACAAUAUAUCAAAAACAAUUUCAAGUACACAAAAAUAUUAAAAAAUAAAAUAUACACUAUUUUCUUGUUUCAUCUAUCACCACCACCAUCACCCCCCACCCACUAUCUUACUUCUCUUUCUCUUUCUCUUUCCUCCUCCUCUCUUCCCUUUCCCGCCAUAGCCCACCUCCUCCUCCUAGCCUCAACUAGAUUGGAGAGAGGAAGGAAAGGUAGGGGUAGGGUGUAACGAGAAAGGGCAGAGAAAGGAAAGGGAGGAAGAAGGACGGGGAGAAGAGUGAAGGAGGGAGAGAGGGGAUGGUGAGGGUAGUGGGUAAUAGUGGUGGGUGUAGGGGUGCUAGCAAGUCAAGCUGCUCGCGAGCUACUCGCGAGCAGCUUGAUCAAAAGCUUGACUCGAUCUCGGUAAAAUCGAGCUCGAGCUCUCGAACUACUCGUUAAAUUUAACGAGUCGAGUUCGAGCUCAAGAAAUAAAUACUCGAGUGCUCGUCGAGAUUAAUCGAGCUUUCAUAUUUUAUUUAUAUUAUAUAUUUAUAUUAUAUUAUAUAUUAUAUAUUUUUAAAAAAAUUAUAGAUUUAUUUCAAAACUUGAGCUCAAGCUCGAGUAGCUCGGACUUGAUAUUUACUCGAGCUUACUCGAGCUCGAGUUUAGUUUUAUUUCAUCGAGUCGAGCUCGAGUCCAAAUUUUUUUACUCGAUCGAGCUCGAGUAGCACAAAUUUUGAUCGAGCUCGAGCUCGAGUAUGGUGCUACUCGAGCUCGACUCGGCUCGAUAGCACCUCUAGGUGGGUGGAAUGUUAAUUUUUAAAAAAAUAUUCCAAAAAUUUUUAAACUUUAAAAAUACCCUAAAAUAUAUCACAAAAAUAUAUCCAAAAAUAUCACUAAAAACAUCUACAGUAAAAAAUUUUCAUAUACAUUGUUACAGUAAAAUAUUUCAAAACACCCUAAAAAAUAGCUAAUAACAUUUGUAAAAAUGACUUGGUAGCAAUGUUUUGAAAAUCGGGCCAAACUGGUUGAACAGCGAACCGGCCAUGGCACUGGUCCGGUUCUAUGUUAGGAUUGACCAUGCUAGAAAAUCGAUCAAAAAUCGGUUCAACCGUGAAACCGUCAAAACCGGAUUGAACUGUUUUUUUUCCCGAUUUUCGAGUUUUUCUCUCUUUCUCUUUUUUUUUUUAUUUACAUUUUGCAAAAUAUAGCUUUCAAGAUUCGAACUCAUGAUCUUUGUAAUAGAAGACCAAUAUAGUAAUUGUUGCACUAUCACAUCUUAUUAAUUUUUUUUAUAACUUAUUUAUAUAAAACAAACACUCAUAUUUCUUUUUUCCAUUUUUCUUACAAAAUCUCAUUCUCUCAUGGUUUUUUUUUUUUAAUCUUCAACUCUCUCUCUCUAUCCUUUUUCUUUUGUCACUCCCUUUUUAAUCAAACAUCUUUAUUUUUAAUUUAUUGAUGUUUUCUUACAUCUUUUAAUUUUAUUUUUGUCCAUUAAAUUAAAAAAGUUAAAAAAGAAUUUUUUUAACCCAAAUUAUUUAAUGCCACAACCACUUAUUUUUAUCUCAUUUUUUGUUUCUUAUCAAGUUUGCAUUUCUAUUUUCGAUUAUCUUGAUUUCUUUCGAACUCCAAACUUUUUUUUUUAAAUUGCAAUCUCUAAAUCCCAAAACGUAAAUUAAAAUUUAAGUUCACAAUGUUUAAAUUCUCAUAGACGUGAAUUUUGUAUAAUUUCAAAAUAUUGUGAUAUUUUUGGGUUGGAUUUAAGAUUUUUUGGUAGAUAUAAUUGCAAUUGAGAUGAAAUUUAUUUAUUUUAACUUAUAAUUCAAAAAUAAAUAAUUUAUUUUUAAAAAUCCAAGUUAUUCAAAAAUAGUAAACUUUUCAUCAUGUAAAGUAUUAAAUUAGUCCAUUACAUGUCUUAUUUUGUACAUAUAUAUUUAUAUAACUUAUUUUUUAAAAAAAUUCAUUGAACCAAGAUUGAACCGGUCCGACCGAUUGAACCUCGACCCUUUCAUUUCACAGGUUCAAUUAACGGUCCGAUUUUUAGAACAUUACUGGCUAGGUUUACCAUUCGUUGCACAAAGUAUGAGAAGAAUUCUGGUAUGUGGCAACCAAGUAGGGAUGUCCUGUACUUGUAGGUCAGCCAACAGUCAAUCUAAUAAUUGCAGAUCUAAUCUUACACGAAUAGACACAGUCUAAUGGCUCCAAAGGAAAUGAUGCAAUAUUAUUUUCAACAUGGACAUAAAAGAUAAACUAAUAAACUUUUCUUGCACCCAAUUACUGAAGCAUGUUUCGGGCAAAUAUAGAGCAAAGAUUGGGAAUUGACCCACUCAACCCCAACAAUUUCAUUUUCAGCUCCCAAAGUGCAGCAGAGAAAAUGAGAGGACGCCUUACCCAGAAGAAAAAAAAAACCCAAAAAGGAAAAAGAGAGAAAAAAAUAAAAUAAUUAAUUAAGCAAGACGCCAAGGCCCAAUCAAUAAUCAAACUCCAGAGUACCACUUUUACAUCCGAUGAAUAGGUCCACUACUUAUACCAACGGUCCCUGCCAGCUCCAUUACUACACCUUUUUCUAAUAACAAAGUUAAUCUUGAGGGGCCCAGCCCAAUAACUGCCCUUUUUGUCUAUUGUCUCCUACUUAGUCAGGUCGAAUUACAAUAACAUCCCCAGACCCAAGUACUCUGCACUUUUGUUGAUGUUGAUGAGGGGGGGGGCAUUAUUGGAGUAAAAGCGAAACAUAUGGGCCUAAAUCCAUCUGCCAAUGUCCAAUACUAAAUUUCAGCAACAUCUGAGGAACUUGGGGAGAGGAAAGUACUAAAGUGGCGGAAGUACCACAUUAGUAAGCAGUAGAGCUUCUACAACAAAAGUGUUGGUAAAGUAUUUAAGCUGCGCCUGCCUCCAUAAUAAAACAUGCAACAUGCAGCGCAAAUUGUGGUCCCUGGAAUUGCAGGACUCUUACAACUAAGCCGCUCGCCAAAAGCAAAUUUUGGUGCCCACCUACUUGGACAAGAUGACUUGGCGUCCGACAUGGCAGGUUGAGGGCUUUUAUUGCAGGUAUGGUAUUUGUCUACAUUGACCAAGCAAUAAUGGUUUGGAGCUGAUUGAUCUAAUCCUUGAAGGAUGCAUAUUAUUAUUACUCGGCUGGAUUUAGUGUUUGUUUGUUUAAACAAAUAAAUGGUAAUUCGAUUUGUAAUUUAGGGCUCGUUUGAGAAGGAAAAAAAAAAAUGCUUUUGAGCAGUAAAAGUGUUUACAGGAUGUUUAGUAAUUAAUUUUUCGUAACUUAAGUAUCUUAAUUUUUGAUAAUUUAAAAGUACUUAUAUCAGAAGUGUUUUUUUUACAAGCCAUCGAGACCUCAAAUGAAACCUUAGUACGAUACAAUUUCCACUUUAUAGGCACUCUAAUUUCCACUUUCAAAUUUAAACUAAUAGCAUUCAUCAUGGUGAGAGCGGCUGCAUCCAUCUCUUUCACAUUUCUGUAUCCAUUUAACUGCUUCCCCACUAAAUUGAUAAAAAAUAAAAUAAGAGAAUGGCUAAACUGAUGCAUACAGGUUCUAACUUGUACUCUUUUGUGCAUUUAUGAUUUAUAUUACUCAUAUGGACACAAUAUUCUAAAAAAAAAGAAAGAAAGAAAAUAAAAUAAACUAACGGAUUUAUUUGGAUGUCAUUAUUUUUAAAAAUUAAUUUUAGUGUUCUCAAACAAAUUUUCUGUCGCUUUUUAACUUAUAAUCGUCACAUUAUAAAACGUUAACAAUAAAUAAUAUAAUAAAAUUUUUUCAAUUAUAAUAAUCAUAUGAGCGCUGGUACUUUUCUUGAGCCUUAAUAAAUUGUUCACCAAUUGUCAUCAUCCCUCCCCUUUUGGUCGCCAAGAAACGCUCUUUAAUACACGUGUCAACAAGACAUCCAAAUCAUCAUCUCCACGUGGCAUUGAGGUCCCACCCGAUAUUAGUAGUAGUAGUAUUAGUCCUUGUACAAGGGGUAAAUUAGGAAAGUCAAGAAUAAAAGCGUAAAGCUUCAUUCCUACUCCUACUCGAUACAUCAGCUCUAAAAAAUGUCGGCCCUUUCAGGUUUUCGCCAACAAAUGGGACAUUUAUUUCUCGAGAUUGUCCCCCAAUCGAGCGGUCCAGAUCCUCUGGAAAGAUCAACGGGCUUGGACCGUUGGAUCGCUUAGUCCCGUAGUCAACGCUCCAGAUGAGUCAAAAGAAACUCGGGAAGCCCGCGUGCGUAUGAGCAGCAAUUGCACGUGAGGGUUGCGUGUGGGUGGGGUGGGGACCAUUGGUUUCUCUGAGACUCUGACUUCUGCUGGGUGGUUAGGGGCUUGCGGCCGCGGAAAGUAGGGCCGAAGCGGUUUUGUGGGAGACUGUGUUUUCUUCUUUUAUUCUUGGGAUAAUUUCAGAAACAUCCCCUGAGGUUUCCAGUAAUUUCAUUAACCUCCCCUAAGGUUUUGAAAAUGACAUAAACCUCCCUUGAACUUAUAGUUGUAGUAACAUGAUCAGCCAAAUGAGCAUUAAAAAAAUAUUUUGAGGAGUGAGAUGAUAUUUGUGUUCUACAUAUACCCUUUUUGCUUAUCCACAACUUGUAUUAGUAAAUAAUGAAAACUAUUAAAAGAGACGUACAUAAUUAGUAAAUUCUAGUAGGUGUAAUAGCAAUUAGAAAAAGUACAGUAACAACAACUUGAAGCGUUAGUUUGCACAAAUGGCUAGUGCAAUGGCCAUAUUUUAAGUUUCUUUCAAAAGCAUAUAAACGGCUCAAGCAACUCAAGAAAUAAUUUAUUUUUGGUGUGAUUAUCAAAUUUUGAGGUACUAAAAAAUGGCAAAGCUGUACCAACCAAAGGCCAUAGUUAACAUGAUACUCAUCAUAAAUAUCACACUAGGUCUUGUAUCUAUAUUCAUCCAAAAUAUAAUAUCAAUUGGAUAAACUCUAGUAACAAAUAUAAAAGUGCUACGACAUUGUAUCAACCAUUUAAGUCUUUUCUGAUUAUGUAAGAAGUAAACCAAUAGUACUUGUCAGUUGGAUUGUAUUUGGAAGAAAUGUAUGACUAUUAUUGUUUGAUGACUACUACUGUACCUUUACUAAGAGAUAAUAAUCAACAAAAUAUUAGUUGAACUAGUUAGUAAGGCGACAUAAGUUACUUAACAUUAGUUCAAAUUUGCUAUAAUUGUAGUAGUUGUAGUAUUACAUAACUAUCGAUGCAAUCCAAGAUAGUUUCAAACACCAUCUGCCCUAGAUGAAUGAGGUAGAUGGUGAGGAUUACAAAGCCAAAUUUCAUGACCAUUGAUUGUUUGUCACUAAUGCCAACCAUAUACAAAAGCAUGAGUGGUUAGCAUGUCAAUAAUCUUAAUGCAAAUCAGCAUAUUUUAACUUGAGGGGAGCCAUGUUUUUUUCCUUCUUUUCCCUCCAUUUUUCCAUCUUCUCCAAGUUUUCGUAUAAUAUUUUCCUUGUGUUGCUCUUUGAAGUGAUGUCCAAUCACAAAAAGUGGCUCCAUAUUGGUGCAUCAAUUAAUGCCAUUUCUUAAAUGUAGUUACAUUGGCUUAUUAGAGAUAAAACUACGGUUAAUAUCAUUAAUUAGUUCAUUUAUUUAAUGACCUAAUUAUAUUUUUCCAGAAAUUGGUUUCUUAUCACCCUUUUAUGCAUAAGGGCAAAGUAGUAAACUCAUUCCAGGUUACAUCAGCAAUAGGCUCCAAAAUCAGUUGAGGAAAGGUCAGUGUUAUUUUCGAAACCUCAAGAGAGGUCAAUGAAAUUAUCCCUUUAUUCUUUAACCACCUCUUUCUGUUGGUAUCCGUUGCAAUUUGGGAGAAACAAAAUCAGAUAAAUGCUAAUUCUAGACGCAGUUUGAGAUUGCAGUGGCUUAUAAAAAAUCACAUUUAAUACAGAUAAUUUUAAUAAAAUUAUUUUUAAGCUUUCAACAACUUGACGUGCUUUUAACAAAUAAAACUGCCUUUAAGUUAUCUUUAGAUAUGUGUUAUGGAUUGAGUAUCAUGUUCUGCCUUUUACUGCUAUAAAUGAAUAAGAAUUUUAAAUAUUAACUAAAAUUACUCUCACCUUAAAAAAAUUGUAGAAAUUGAACUUUAAAAGUUGGCUAAUUUGACAACAAAAGCAUUAAACUUGACAUUGCUUAGUGUUUAUACCUUUUUUUUAAAUGCAAAAUGCAGUCAUUUACGCGUAUCAAUUUUUAAUAUAGAGCGACUUUUAUGUACAACAAAUGAAAUAUAUUCUUAAUUUGGAUUGUCUUUUUUUUAAAAAAAAAAAUUACGUCUUUGUGAAUAUAUUUUUGGAUCAUUUUUUUUUAUCUCGUAUACAUCAUAUUUUUAUAAUAUAUUUUUUUAUAAAAAUUUUAAAAAAUAGCAGUACUGAUGGGAUACAUCAUUUAUUGUAGCUUCAUACGCUUUUAUACUCAUAGAAUUUCAAUGCUAUAAGUGACUAAGCACGGAAAAUGUUUGUUUCAGUAGCUCCGAUUGGGGGCUAACUCUGUCUUGUGUUUUGGGAGUGUGUGUCAGAUGGGUGUGGACCUGUGAAUGCUGGGUCAGGUGGUGGGGCUGGUGAGGCGGAGCUCAUGGGUCAUAACUCAUAAGGGUUCACGUGAAAGACCUUUUUUCGCUUUUCUUGGCUCCUACUACUGAGUGAGAUUAGAAGAAGAAGAUACUUUCUCUACUUUUCAUGAGCAAGAGAAAAGGAUGAAUUGAUGCUCGAAUUGCACUCGGCCUCUCCUCUAUUUAAAUAGAAGCCACAAAUCUUGUCUUGGCCCAAUAUUAAGCCUUAAAAAAAAAACAUAGUAGAAAAGAUGUUGGCCCAAAACAUGUCACACUAUGAUUGGUCUUUGUGGGCCAAGUUUUCUCACAUCAUAAUCAUAUCAUUGCUUUUUGGGGGCUUGAUUGAUUUUGCCGAAAUUUUAUGUGGUCAUAAUUUUCUGGAAAGAAUGGUCAAAAGUCCAAAAAACCAAAUGGGUGAAAUCAGAGCAUACGGGACAGAAACAUAGGAUUCAGUUUUUGCAUGUGGUCAAAAGAAGAGGUACUUGAUCAUGGAGGAAAGUAAAAGAAAGUGAAAAUAGAUUGGGUCAUUGGAAGGUUGUAAAAGUCCUUUUACGAGUUGGGUCUUUGUGCGAUUUCUAUUUGAUUCAGUAUGACCAUUCUUUCAUGCAGACCAUUCAUGGGGACAACUUGGGUCCAUAGGGGAAGCAUUUUGUGUUAAUGGCAUGAGUUCUUGAUCGCUAGUGAAAUGAUUUAAAAUACUUAUUAGUUGAAAAGGAGAUAAUCAUGGGCAAUAAAAACUGAUUUAGUGUCACCUAAUCUCAAACUGUAGGGCCCAACUGAAUGAAGAAAGGGAAAAAAAAAAGAUUAAUUAAAUUGUUUUAAUUAAUCUUUUUUUUUUUUUUUUUUUUUUUUGUGGAAAGGGGGGUGGGGGGCAGAUUUAGAAAGUCAUCUAAAAACACAAUCAAGGGCAGGGAGGGAACACUGUUUGAUUACUCUAAAGUAGGCCCUUAGGAGGCAGCAUCAUUGGUUGACUUAAUGAACAUGCCAUCCAGGGGCUAUGAAUGGAUUGCUUGUAAAUAACCAGACCUGACAUAAUCAUGAUUUAAAUUGCUAAUCCUGUUCCUGUUUUGGAAUGACAUAUCAGUCACAAAUUUCGGCUGCAUUGUGCAGAGUUGGAAUUGCGAAGAAGAAAGUAUCUCAAAUCAAAUGUCCCUCGUGAUCAUUUUCAAUGUAGAGAGAUAGGUAAGGAUUUUUUUUUUUUAUUUUAAUUUUUUUGGGUUGAUUAGGUAACUAAACAUACAGUAGAGGAAACCCUUGUUCAGUAACCUGGAAAAUUGCAUCCACUAGGCAAAAUCAAAGCCUUAAAGGACACCAAAAUGAACUAUCUAUGAUAGUUGGACUGCUGGACAAUGGCUGCAAAGCUCCCUCACUCCCUCUUCUUCAAUUGGCUCAAAGCUCCUCCAUGCAUGAUCUGCUGUUGCUGUUGUUGCAGAUGUGUCAACUGAAUGGACCAUUGAAAUUGUUCUUGAUGAUUCCCCUGGCACCUUAUAACCAGCCAAGAAAUACAGAUGACUUCCAGUUGGUGCCAUAGUUAGGUACAGCCCUUGAAUGGGUUGGAAGUCUUCUUCACCACCAUAUUUCAGAUAUGUGGAAACUGGAGAUGGAAAUCUUUUUAGUUGUGACCCUUCAACCACGUUCCAUGUAGUGAGUUUUCCGUCGUCGAACUCAAUAUGACCUUUCCAUGCACUCAGGCAAUCCCCAGAGCCAAACAGAUGGCCAGAAACAAGGUCCCACUUGCCACUCUGUACAUUGUACACCUCAGCCGAGCACCCAUCUAUGUAAUACGAUUGGACGAAUCCACCGACCACGUGGACUUUCCCUCGCCACGUCACACCUACAGAUUUGCACCUUAAUCUGUUCGUGUUAGGCAGGGGAGCCCAUUUAUCUGUCAGGGGAUCAUACACUUCAGCGGCAGCAGUGCCCCUGGCACCAGCCAGCGCGGAGUGCCCUCCAGCAACAUAGAUCUUGUUGUCACAGACAGUGCCCGCAAAAUCAUAUCUAGGUACGCUAAGGGGUGCACAAUUAGGCCAUUCCUCAGUGUGGAUAUUGUAGCAGAAUACACUUGAAAGUACUUCCACAUCUGUUUGUAGCCAAGUGAGGACUAGAUAACAAGAAGGUAAAAGUAAAUCUGUUUGUAUUUCUUGAGAUUUAGUACCUUGGGAUCAAAUUCAAGGGCACUGCUCGUAAAUCAGGAUCAUGCAAGCAUCAUAACAUUUGCCACGGUUAGAAUGGAGUUGAGUUGGUUACAAAAUCCAAAUACUCGAAUUCGAUACAACCAAGAAGUCUAGUUUAUUAUCGUUUAAUUCAUCCUGGUCAAUUCUGAGAGUAAAGGCGUUUCUUUCCCUCUUCCUUUUCCUUCUUUUUAGUUAAUGCCAUCAUGGGAUGAAAGAUUGUACACAUUUGGGCAUGGCUUAGAGUGUGUUGCACAAAACAAAUCAAGUGAAAUCCAAAUGAAGAUGAUUGCUACUAGGAAAGCUAUAUAUACAUAUAUAUAUAGGCGGACACAUAAAUGUUUUAUACUAAAAAAAACUAGUGGUUUGCCGACACAUUAAGUCUAACUAAAGUGCAAACUACAUCUAAAAUACUGUUAGUGAUCAGUACAAAAAUCAUGCUCAGGAACAUACGGCCUUUUUUUAAUUUGGAAGAAGGAACACACGACCUCAAAUCAUAGACAAGUCUAAUCAUUCCAUGGUGUUCUAUUCCUCUCUUUCUAUCGCCACUCCAUUAUCUCUCAUUUUAUUUAUGCAAUCAAUCACGUUUAAUUAGAACUUAAAUAAAAGGGAAAAUAUAAAAAACCUCCCCCAAAGCUUCUCUUAAAAUCACAUAGCACUCCUAAAGUUUUAAAAUUAUCACUUAAUCUCCUUUACUUUUUUUUUUUAUUUGUGUUAAAAACCCUAAACUACCAUUUUGCUCGCUAAAUAAAAAUGCUCGUAAGUUACUUUGUCUGUUUCAAGAAAACCAUCACCUAAAAAAUAAUCUCUAAUAGUACUACCAGGGCACAAUGCUAUAGUCCAUAAAAGUACAAAUAUGAAAAACAAAAAAGAUAUUUGUAAAGAAAUACACUAGUACCAAUUUUAUUCUAUAUGCUCAAAAUUGAUUUCUUAUGAUCCUUAUAUUUUUUUUCCAACUUCUUCGCAAUCCGUGUCCAAUCCUUUAAAUUGUACUGAUCAUUAUAAAAAUCAAUUCAAAAUAAACAAAAAAAAUCUUACCCCACUCUAUCACAAUCACAAAGGUGAAAGAUAAACAAAAUUCAAUUUACUAUAAUUUACAAAUAAAAAUCGCAUAAUCAUCAAAAAAAAUGUGUAAGAGAGAAUGUUGGAGAAAGAAGAAAGAGAAUGAAGUGACUUAUGUUUCUUUUUUUUAAAUUUUUUUUGAGUUACGUUUAUUUGAUAUGUGAAUUAUGUAUCAAGUGAGAGUUAAUAUAAUCUUUUUGUAAUUAAUAGGGGAGGUAAGUCAAGUGAUAUCUUCAAAAUUUUAAGUGUGCUAAGUGAUAUUAGAAGAAACCUUAAGGGAGGUUUCUGAUAUUAUCCAUAAAUAAAUUGUGGGGGGCUGGAAUAGGUUCAUUACUUAAAAGUUGGCUAUAGAUGCACUUUCGCAUGAACCACUCUGAAAAAGUACCUAAAAAGAAGAUGGAUCCAAUCCAUACAAAGAUACACCAAAUCUCACUAUUACUUCUACUAAUACUACUAUUAGGGUCUAAAUGAGCAAAAGAAUAAUUCAAUUCGGCGAUAGACAUCAUCGAGGUUUGCUGAUCAAGAAUCAACUAACUUUUUUAGUCGAGCUAGAACAUAAUAAUGUCUCAAUAUCUCUUGUUCAAAGAUCUUCUUUAUCUACUUUUGGGGCGAAAAGAAAUCCUAAACCAAAUAUUAUAUUGAAGUUGCAGUUCUAGAUCAAUAUGGAUAUUGCUGUUGCUUAAGGGUUGAGAAAGCAAGACAUGCAACCGGGGAACCAAUCAAUCUUGUAUUGGUGCAGCUUUGUAGAAGUAAGGUAACUAUCUGCUGGCUGCUCCUUUUAUUAUUAUUUUUUUGAGUCACAUCUGCAUGCCACUUAACUUUAAUUAUAGUUCCACAUCAUUAGAAAAGCGAAAAAAUUAUUUAACAGAAUAAAAAAGAGCAAGAAAAACAUGUCUAGGGAGUAGUUCCUAUGUACAAGCUUCAUGUAUGUUAACCCCAAGAUUGCCCUGAUCGAGUUAUGACAUAGCAUUGGCUAAGGUGGAUAAUUUUAGGUUCAAAUAUUUGGGUGUUUGAGCUAUCGAAUUGUGCUUUUGUUCAAAUUCUGCCAUCAUUUUCCAUUCGGGGGUUUUUUUUUUUUUUUCCCCUAAAGGUAGAGAAGAAGAAGUGCUUCUUAAUUGCUUUAUUAAACUAAUAUCAAAUUGGACCAUGCACGUGAUUGCAUUAGCCUAAAAACCAGUUUUCAUUAGGAAAAAUUAAACCUUGCUUGGAAUGGUAAUUUUGACCCCCCCCCCCAAAAAAAAAAAAGGAAUUUCUAGACACAUUUUUCAAUUUCUUUCUAUCUCAUAUACAUCACACUACUACAUUAAUAUUUUGAGCAAAUCUUAUAUACACUGACAGUAGUGUAUACGCUAUUACAGUUGAAUGCACAACACAUAUGCAAAUUCUGAGUUUUAAAUUUAAAUUCAAAUUAUAUAUCAUGUAUCUAAUAAUAAAAGUAUAUACAAUGCAAUGUGCGAAAGAUUAAUCAUAAUAUUUUUAUACAAGAAACUCUAAAAACUAGCAUUCCAAAGAUUAAGCUUCAGUUUUCCUUGUUGCGAUAUGGCCCAAGUGAUGUAAUAAAUGGGCUCAUUGCUUUUGGGCCUCAAUUCCAAUGGAUUACACUGGCUUACUUUUAGUCAAUGAAUCGGGCUCGAUACUGAGUCGGCCUCAAGAUACCCGGGAAGUUUUUGAUGAGCGCCUAGUAGCCGAAUAAUAAUAUUAAUUUGUUCAAGUCUUCAAAUGUUCCCCCCACUAUAUUUUUUUUUUUUAACUUGUAAUAAGACUUGGAGACUUUUUUAAACUAAUAUAUAUAACAAGGUUUGGUCCAAAACUGAUCAACAUGGAUCUGGCAAGAUUUAAAGAGGCCCUCCAUUUUUUUGUUAAAAAGAAAAAGAGGCCCUCCAUUCUAAGUCGAUUAGUAGUGAUAUAUUACUUUUAUAUCUUUUUAGUACAAUGUGUCACUUUAAUUCGUAAUAUUAAUAUUUUACAAUAUAUAUAUAUAUAUAUAUAUAUAUAUAUAUAUAAUUUUCAAAAAAAAAAAGAAGAAUAUACGCGCUUCCAAAGAUGUUUUGCUGUAUAUCAGUGCAUUCAUAUCCUGCCGAGGACAGAAGCCAAUGUGCAGGAAGAUGGGGUAACUAUUAUACCGGGGCCCUGCACAUCAGAAAUUGAAUGCAUUAGUUAUUCUUAUUUUUAUUUUUUUUGCCAACAUUUUCUUACGAAAGUAAGAAUGGCAGUUUUUUGGUUGGUUGUCUCCUGAGUCAUUGUCUCAAAUUUACUGUGUGUUUUUGUUUUUCAACCUUUUUCUUUUUUCUCAAAAUUUCACCUACCCCUUUGCGGAAGGGCGUGUAGGAGGAAGUGGGGCUAUCGACCAACCACCUUUUUAUUUCAUAUACAUUACAUCAUAAAAAGUGCUAUAGUAAUUAUUUCAAAUAAAUAUUUCAAAUAAUACCCUAUCCAAACAAUCCGAUCGGAUUUGGAUCCAGUGAUCUGAUUUGGAUCCUAUGCAAAAUAACGAAUAUUCAAUCCCUCAGAUCAUAUGUGGAUCGAAUCACAUCUGGAUCAAGAAGUUAUGCGAGUCGAGUUCGGAUAUCAUUUUUUGUGACCCAUGAAUAUUUGAUCCCAUCCGUAUAGUAUUUUUUUUUAUUUUAAGAAUUGUUGAUACAUUAAAUCCACUAAUUUAUAAUUAUUUUAUCUCUUGUUUCUUAUUUUCACAUCUAUAUCAUCUUUCAAAAUAAACUUUCUUUGCAUAUGAUGUUAAGUUUUCAAACAUAUUGUUGUGUAAUCUGUGGAUAAAGAAAUUGUAGACGAAAUAUUUAAUAUUAUUUGUUUGAAUCAAAAUAAGAAAAAAAGAUAUAAAAGUUACUUUAUAUUGCAACAAAACAAAAUUAAAAAGUUCAGCAAAUUAGGCACAUGAUAUUUUUGAAACUCUAAUGCAUCUAAAUUUCAUUUUACUUUUUGGAUUUAUACUUUUUUUUAAAAAAAUUAAAAAUGGAUACGAGUCGAAUAUCUAAUUGACCCGACUGCAUAUUGCAGCCAGAUAUGUGUGGAUAUUCGCAUUAGCGGAGGAUCCGAAUAUGGUUCACAAAAUGACUGAUCCGCUUUUGCGAAUCGAGUCAACAUUCCAAUGCGUGCGUGAAGGUCCGCUAACCAGGGUAAUCAAGGUAUUGGGAAUAGGGGACCAAAAUUCGGGCAAAAGAGAAUUUAUUGAGAAUCUGCAAAGUCCAAACUGGCUACUGCAACGAGACAUUGGGAAGAAGCAUUGAAAUCUACCAAUCCUGAACGCAUUUUACACUACAGACCUUUUGUCGGAGACAAAUGAGUUUACGGGGAAAAAGGGUUUCUGAUUUGAUGCAUCACGAAGGAGAUUCCUCGCCGAUUAUUUCACGUGAUUAUUUCAUCAUGAAUUUUGAGCCAUAUUUCUUCACAAUGGACUUGAGCAAGAAUGAUCCCUCGAGUCAACUACUCAGUCGACCUCAAGAAAUUGCUACCGGUAAAGUCUUUGACGACGAAAAGUUAUUAUUAUUUUCAAAGCGAAAGACAAAAAAAAUCUAUUUAUUAAAAUAUGAGCAAUAUUUUAAACGAUUUUUUUAAUAUUUGAAUUAUAUAUAUAUAUCUAUAAUUUUCAACAAUAAUGUAUGACUACAUUACAUCAAUAUAUGUGCUUCCUGUAUACCAGUGCAUUUAUAUCCUGCCAAUGUGUAGGACAGAAGCCAAUGUGGAGGAAGAUGAGGAAAAUGCAUCAUACCAGGGGGGCCCGGGGCAUCAGAAAUUGAAUUCAUAGUCAUUCAAUUCAAUCUUCCUCAGUCCCGGGGCUUUUAUGGUUUUUUGUUUUACUACUUUUUGUUUAUUACAAAUUUUCACCUUCACUUUUGCAGAUGGGGAUGUAGGAGGGAGUGGGACUAACCACUAUUAAUAGGGGGUGUGCAGAUGAUCCGAACAAACCUGAAACAGCGGAUAUCCGAUCCGCCAAAUCACAUCCGUAUCAAGAAGUCAUGCAGAUCAAAUUUGGAUCACGAAGGAGAUUCCUCGCCGAUUGUUUCACAUGACAUGAUACUCUGCUCGAGGCCGUAAAUAGGAAUUUAGAGCUAUCUUUCUUCACAUGAAUUUUGGCUGGUUGUAUUUGAUUUGAUUAGUAGUACUUUGCACUCCACUUUACGUGCGUGAUAAUUAUUUACCAAAACAGCCAAGCUCUUGGCUUAGUAAGUAAUCUGGUUUUCAUGGGGUAGGAGUGAAACUUACUUACUUGAGGAACUAUCUAUCUUUUUUUUGUUUUUCUUUUUCAAUAGGGUAGGAGUGAAAGUUAAGAAGCAGCGAAGGGAGAAUAAAGAUUUGAAGUUUGAGCCUCUAAUUUUUAGGAUCUCAAUCUUAACCGCUAGAUCAGAACCUUCUCAGUACUUGAUAAACUAUUUAAUUAUGUGCGAAGAUUAUUUUAUUGUUUAAGAAGCAUAAAUUUUGCGUUAUAGUGUACACAUUCACAAUUUAUAAUUAAUGUAGUUUUCAUUAAGUUAACAUGCACAGAAAUUAGUUGAGAAACUAUUUAAAGAUUAAUUGAAUGUUUAAAAAGCAUAAUUUUUUUGUUGUAGUGUACAUGUUCACAAUUUAAGGCAGAGGAAUUAUAAGCAGAAGGUUCUAUGUUCAAGACCUCCCACUUUUCUCAAAAAAAAAAAAAAAAGUACACAAUAGACGAUUUAUAUUUUGCUCCACUUGCAUUUACACAUACUUACUCUUAAAUACUAGUUAAGUUGACCAUUUAAAAACCCAAAAUUUGGUGGGACACAAAAUUAUACCAAAUUCUUAGACGCACAAGUGUUUUAUUUUAUUUUAUUUUAUCGUUUUGUUAGGAAACAUCCAAACAAGAGGCAAGGAAAUGCUCGGUAGAACCUAACAUUUAUAUAUCCUACCAUGUAUAUAUAUAUACUAACAGUUAUUAACAUUCUUUGUAUAUUUUUUCUAUUUAAUCUUACCUACCAUUAUAUUUAUUUACUUUUCUUAAUUAAUUUUACAUUUUAAAAAAUAUGACACCUAAAAAUAUAUCUUAACGGACACCCUCAUACUUCAAAUUCAGGUGGCACUAAAUAAUACGCCUUUAUACAAGGAUUUAUUGCCCAGUAUUGCAUCUCUAGAGGAAUGAAUACAAAGCCAACAAAUCUGCUGGUGCUUAAUCACAGAUCAUGGAAUGGGUGAGUCCUUUGUAUUAUCAAAAGGUGAUUAGUAAAAUUUAGCCACAUUGCCUCAACUAAUUCUAACUAAAAAUUUGCACAAACAAAAUCUUUGAAAACUUCAAAACCUUUGUCAAAAGUUAACUACUCCUUUCUAUCCGAAAUAUCAGCUGCCCUGAUCGCCCAAGUGAUUUUAGCUUCCACAAAAUGUUGCACCCAUGUAACUGGAAGUAGUAUCCAAUACUGUGACCUACAUGCUACUAGUAUAUGCUACUAGUAAUAGAAACGAGGGUUUGAUUAUUAACUGCCGAGGAAUUCAGCUGAGGACUGUUUUUUUUAACAACAGCUAGGAUUGUGAUGCUUCAGGCCUUCAAGGACAGGGCUCUCUUCCCAUAGCAAACUGUCUCUGUCUCUCUCUGGAUCAUGGAAUUUGAGUCUCCCGAUGCAAGAAAAAACAGUGCUACUGUGGUCUGUGGGGAAGCCUGCAAUUGGUAGGGCGCAGUUUCCUUUAAAUGCCAACACAACUACACACCGGCAUUUGCAUUUUAUUUUGUCUUUCCUUCUGGUCUCAUCAACUAAAAACUUGGAAGCUUUUCCCUUAGUAUUCUCUUUGAGUACUUCUACGUAAAUGUAGAAAGGGUCUCUCCCACGUAACAUCGCAAGUCAUUUUUGGGUACUAUCUUCCGAGCUUUGUUGGAACUAUCUUUCUUUUUCCCCUCCAGGAAGAACUUCAAGAACCACAUCAAACAAAAAAAAAAAAAAAAAUCCAGCAGAGCAUUUGCCUACCAUUUCACAUCAUCCCAAAUGUUUGUCCUUUAUUCUUGACCAUGACGUGCUUCUAAUUGCAGAUAAAGAUAGAUUUCAAGCGCCUUCUCUGCUGUGAAAGCUGCACUAUCGAAAUUCGAAAGAGGUUACUUUGGCAUGGUUUUGGCUCAGAAACUAGGGUUUGGCUCUUCUUCGUUUUGAGAUACUGAGAAAAGCAAGAUAUACGGUGUACAUUUAGCAUGAUGGCAUUGGGAGGAAGUCUCUCACGGGUGAACAGUUACAGCAAGAAGCAGUGCAGAAGCCUUUUCUGCAGAGUAAGGGCAGCAGCGAAGAAGGCCAUCAGGAGCGCUGGUGGUGGUGGAAAAGGUAAACAUCAAUUCAAAUUCCACUAUGAUCCUUCGAGCUAUGCCCUCAACUUUGAUGACGGCUCUCAUGAAUCGGGAGAGAAAACAACAACGGUGUUUUACCAGCAGCCAUCCAACUCCAAACUGCAGAGCUCUUGCAAGACCAAUAAUACUACCUGGAUUUAUAUCAUCUGGGUGGAGUCUUAACUCUUACGCAGUUCUGUGUUUCCACAUUUUCUACUACCAUAUAUGAGUCAAAUUCAUGUUUAUUUCCAAGUUUUUGUUUACCUUUUACAGUACUUUCCUUGUGAUUCUCUUCUGCUACCUGCUGCAAGAGUACGAAAAUAGUGUCCUUUUGGCUAUACUCUUGAUUAAGUUACGAACAUUUCCAAACUUCGAUUCUUUAAUACAUAUGGUCUAUCCAGUGGCCUUUUAGCAAAUAAUCACCCCUGGCCUACUCUCAAAAACAGCCUAAUACAUUAGUAUUGGCAACAAUAAACAUGAGACAGAGAGACCCAGAAAUUUAUUAAUUUUCCGUGCGGUAUAGACAGCAGAUACGCUUUUCGUUGUGAAUAAUAAGUGACUUUACGCGUUUAUUUAAUAUCCACACUGACAAAAAGCGGACAUAUACAGAGAGAGAGAGAGAGCCAUCACUGUUCCCAUCUGUUGUACUACUAGAUAACAAACUAAAUUCAUCAUUAAUGAUACUGUAAAGGAAAGCGGACACAAGGAGUAUCAUUUAUUAUACAUGAGAUUGGCAAAGAAUCCACAUUCGGAACAAAACGGUGCAAUACGUGACUGUUUCCAUUGGCUGUACACCAAGUUUGCUUUCUGUGGAGAGACCUAUUGCCCUAGUAAAGUAGUAUAAAUUAAUGAAAAUGACAUCCAUGAAUGACUGACCAACUACUUUCUUCCAAGAUACACCGUAUUGCAGCUCUUUGCUGUCGUACCCGUUGAAUGAGC
rnacentral:lncRNA from 1 species